AUUGAACGCUGGCGGCAGGCCUAACACAUGCAAGUCGAGCGGUAGAGAGGUGCUUGCAUCUCUUGAGAGCGGCGGACGGGUGAGUAAUGCCUAGGAAUCUGCCUAGUGUGGGGGAUAACGUUCGGAAACGGACGCUAAUACCGCAUACGUCCUACGGGAGAAAGCGGGGGAUCUUCGGACCUCGCGCCAUUAGAUGAGCCUAGGUCGGAUUAGCUAGUUGGUGAGGUAAUGGCUCACCAAGGCGACGAUCCGUAACUGGUCUGAGAGGAUGAUCAGUCACACUGGAACUGAGACACGGUCCAGACUCCUACGGGAGGCAGCAGUGGGGAAUAUUGGACAAUGGGCGAAAGCCUGAUCCAGCCAUGCCGCGUGUGUGAAGAAGGUCUUCGGAUUGUAAAGCAC
rnacentral:rRNA from 1 species